rnacentral:rRNA from 1 species
AACUGAAGAGUUUGAUCAUGGCUCAGAUUGAACGCUGGCGGCAGGCUUAACACAUGCAAGUCGAGCGGGGGAAGGUAGCUUGCUACUGGACCUAGCGGCGGACGGGUGAGUAAUGCUUAGGAAUCUGCCUAUUAGUGGGGGACAACAUCUCGAAAGGGAUGCUAAUACCGCAUACGUCCUACGGGAGAAAGCAGGGGAUCUUCGGACCUUGCGCUAAUAGAUGAGCCUAAGUCGGAUUAGCUAGUUGGUGGGGUAAAGGCCUACCAAGGCGACGAUCUGUAGCGGGUCUGAG